rnacentral:rRNA from 1 species
GACGAACGCUGGCGGCGUGCUUAACACAUGCAAGUCGAACGGAAAGGCCCUGCUUUUGUGGGGUGCUCGAGUGGCGAACGGGUGAGUAACACGUGAGUAACCUUCCCUUGACUUUGGGAUAACUUCAGGAAACUGGGGCUAAUACCGGAUAGGAGCUCCUGCUGCAUGGUGGGGGUUGGAAAGUUUCGGCGGUUGGGGAUGGACUCGCGGCUUAUCAGCUUGUUGGUGGGGUAGUGGCUUACCAAGGCUUUGACGGGUAGCCGGCCUGAGAGGGAGACCGGCCACAUUGGGACGGAGAUACGGCCCAGACUCCACGGGAGGCAGCAGUGGGGAAUAUUGCACAAUGGGCGGAAGCCUGAUGCAGCAACGCCGCGUGCGGGAUGACGGCCUUCGGGUUGUAAACCGCUUUCGCCUGUGACGAAGCGUGAGUGACGGUAAUGGGUAAAGAAGCACCGGCUAACUACGUG